rnacentral:rRNA from 1 species
CCCGCUGAACUUAAGCAUAUCAAUAAGCGGAGGAAAAGAAACUAACAAGGAUUCCCCUAGUAACUGCGAGUGAAGAGGGAAAAGCUCAAAUUUUGAAUCUGGCGGUCUUUCGGUCGUCCGAGUUGUAAUCUAAAGAAGCGUCUUCCGCGCUGGACCGUGUAUAAGUUUCCUGGAAUGGAACGUCGUAGAGGGUGAGAAUCCCGUCUUUGACACGGACUACCAGGGCUAUGUGAUGCGCUCUCGACGAGUCGAGUUGUUUGGGAAUGCAGCUCAAAUAUGGUGGUAAAUUCCAUCUAAAGCUAAAUACAGGCGAGAGACCGAUAGCGAACAAGUACCGUGAGGGAAAGAUGAAAAGAACUUUGGAAAGAGAGUUAAACAGUACGUGAAAUUGCUGAAAGGGAAACGCUUGAUGUCAGUCGCGUCGGCCGGGGAUCAGCCUUGCUUAACCGCUCGGCGUACUUCCUGGCAGACGGGUCAGCAUCAGUUUCGACCGUCGGAGAAUGGCUCGGGGAAUGUGGCACUCUUUCGGGAGUGUGUUAUAGACUCGAGUCGAAUGCGACGGUCGGGAUCUGAGGAACUCAGCACGACCUUAGGGUUCGGGACUUCGGUCCACGUUUGCGUGCUUAGGAUGCUGGCAUAAUGGCCUUAAGCGACCCGUCUUGAAACACGG